GCGGCAACACAGAGGGAAACGCACCUGACACCCCCCUUCCCUGAUGUAAAUGCCAAGGCAGCAAAUCAAUUUUGCAAGCAGCACGUCCUCUCUCUGCAGCUGGCCCCGGGAGGCUUAACCGAAUCCCUCUGGAACACAGUCAGAAGAUGGCCCGGAUGCACAAACCCCCGCCCUCCAAUAUCCGGGCCACCCGGCCACUGGGCCCAGGCCAGCGGCAGGAAGUCACCCAGGAGGCCCCUCCGCCCCCACCAGAGCCACAGGGGAGCGGCCCCCUCCCGCAGCGCCAACCGGAAAGAAAUCUCCGGGAGGGGUCACCCCACAGCCUGCCCUGCACCUGGAGGGCAUGUCGCCGGAAAGGGAGCCCAGCCCCUCAAAGCCGUGGGGCUGGGCCUGCACGAGGCUCCCUGGAAGCCAUCCCUGGGAUACCUCUGUGCCAGACAAUUCCGGCUCCUGCUGCAGAGCUCCACUGAAACGUCACUGCUUGAAAAGGUCCUCCGUGACCCCCACAGCCUGGGUCAGGGUCCUGCUGUGUGCUCCCCAGACGUCCCUGAGCUAGCUGGGUUCCCCCCAAAAGUGGAGCUUGAGGCUGGGAGAGCGAGAGAGAGAGCAAGCGACCACACAUGCAGCGGGAGCAGCAGAGGGAGAGAGAG